UAUUUUGAUUGUGCAAAGGUAGCAUAAUAAUUAGUUUUUUAAUUGAGAACUGGUAUGAAUGGUUGGACGAGAAAAAAACUGUCUCAAUUUAAUUUUAAUUAGAAUUUUAUUUUUAAGUUAAAAAGCUUAAAUAUAUUUAAAAGACGAGAAGACCCUAUAGAGUUUUAUAAAAUAUUUUAUUUUUAAUAAUUUUAGUAUUUUAUCAGUUAAUUAUAUAAUUUUUAUUUGAUUGGGGUGAUUAAAAAAUUAAAAUAACUUUUUUUAAGUAUUAACCAUUGAUUUAUGAAUAAUUGAUCC
rnacentral:rRNA from 1 species